GCGAGACGGUGGCCCACGGGCCGAGUGCGACCGAUAAACUGUUCACGGACGACGCCGGGCGCUGCCUUGCGUCGUCUGCAAAUGAUCAGCCAGCAGCCGCUGCAACCACAGGGAG
rnacentral:sRNA from 1 species